rnacentral:lncRNA from 1 species
GUUUGGCUAUAGCAGGACAUUUUUUACUUGCCAUCAUGAACAGCAAAACGUUUUCUGUAAGCCUGGGAAAGGCACAGACCUGUUAAUGCAGAGAAGGAAUAUGUGAAAACACACAAAUGUAUUAGCAGAGUUUGAUCUGAACAGGAUGAACUUACUAUCUGGAUUUGUUAUGCUUGCAGGUGGGCCCCUCUUCUGAUAUGUGAUCUACAGCGAGCUACUCUGAAUCGUACGAUGACAAUGUUAUCACUGCCACAUCUCUGGGAACCAGUUAUUCAUAAGUAUACGGUGGAGGAGAGAGUCAACAGCCAUAUUUGCUGGAGCAGUGAACCAGAUUGCCUUGACUGGAACCAUUACUCACUUGCACCUUCGACAGCAGCAGCCAGGAAAUUUGAAGACAGUCAUGCCUAUUAGAUGCUUAGAAGAUGCAGAUAGCUGUAUCAAAAUGGAGGAGCUGAAGAGAGCUUUGCUCUAGUAGAUCACAAAUAUUUCUGGGUCAUUCUGCAUCUCAGUAUUUAAUAAAAACGAAAAUGUCCAAAUGCUAUAACAAGUCUUUGCAAAUAUAUAGUAAAUGUUGAGGAAAGUUCCUGCCAUGAACAGAACUGUAUAAUACGUUAGUGUACAGACACAAAUCUAAUGCCUAUAGACUACUGCGUUGAAAGUUCCAAAGAGAAAGAAAAGUCUGUGAAUUUGCAACAGCCCUGGAAAAAUGGCAGCAACAAAACUUUAAAAAGCACAGCUUUGGACACACUCCAUGUGUCUGCACAGCUUUCAAGUGAACUAGCACUUAAGACCUUGUGUAAC